UACGUAGGGUGCAAGCGUUGUUCGGAAUUACUGGGCGUAAAGCGCGCGCAGGCGGUCUUCCAAGUCAGUGGUGAAAGCCCGGAGCUCAACUCCGGAACUGCCAUUGAAACUGUAAGACUUGAGGAUGAGAGAGGUGAGUGGAAUUCCCAGUGUAGAGGUGAAAUUCGUAGAUAUUGGGAAGAACACCGGUGGCGAAGGCGGCUCACUGGCUCAUAUCUGACGCUCAGGCGCGACAGCGUGGGGAUCAAACAGG
rnacentral:rRNA from 1 species